AGGAGGGAAGUAGCUUAUCGGCACCCUUUAUCUUGUCAGGCCAGAACGCGGCCUAUUAUGCCACUUACGGCGUAGCUUACACGCUUCGUGCCGAAGACACAAACCACCGACACGACUACUCAACUUUACGCCCGGAACAGCCUGCAGGAGAGAAAGACGUUGCUCGGCACCUGCGAUCAACUGCGAUAAAAUCCACCUCGUUUUCUUUUUCUUUUACUUCUUUUUUUCCAUCCAAAUUUACUCUCGCUUCCUGAAGUAAAAAGCAAAAAAGAAAAAAAAACAAGAAACCAAGGAGCAAGCACUUUUUUGAUAACGACUGACGUUUCCAAGAAAGAAAAAUGGAAGCAAAGGAUGAAGAGAAGAAGAAGAAGAGGGAGUCAAGUCAGUAACAGUAGUAGAAGCAGCAGUAGCAUUAUUUUGAAUUUCGCAAGACAGAAAAGUAGGGAGUAAAGAAAAAGAUGGUCGCUUUUCUACAUAAGCCAUAUGAGAGAGAGAGAGAGAGAGAGAGAGAGAGAGAAAGCCGAUAUAGAGCAGACAAUAUAGUCUAGCCUUGAUAUAUAAUGCCGAACGAAGGAGUUUCGUCAUCAACAUAGCCAACGUGUAGUCUCGCAGCGUCUUAAGGGGGCGGAACGAAGAGAAGAACCGCCACCGUUAUCAACUCAGCCGGCGAUUGGCCGUGCCACGAGAAGCUUUCCACGGAGGGCCAAUGGCGCACUGGUCUCCGCUUUUCAAGGAAUCUGCCCCCAAAAUCCUGGGUGUGAGCGAAAGAAUCUUUUCUCUCAAACGGCGAACGCUUCCUCGGAGUUUCUCUCUGUAUCUUACAGCUCCGAUCUUACGACUCCACCACGACACACCUCAAGAUAUUCCAUACGCGUAACCGAACUCGAAGACAAUCAUGAUUCGAUUUCCUUGCCGAUUUUAUAUCCAAGAAAAAGAAAAAACGAAUAAAUGAAACUUUGUAUUCGAUGACGAACACAAUGAUCUCUACCUUGAAAGUCUCUACCUCGGCCAGAGAAAACGUUUGUAAUGUUGAAAGAACAACGUUCACGUAGCUGGACUACGAUAACGACCACCGAAAUUUACAUGAAAUUGCUUAUUAAAUUACUAAGUUUUUCGUGAUGAUUUAACGGUAGGUAGGCCAUUUGUCUCUUUGCCUUUUAUUCCCUUCAACGCGUUAAUGAAAGUGCUUUACGGUUAGGCUUUACGUCCGCGUUGCUAGAACUUUUGGCAUAAUUCUUCUCUCCGAGAGAUACUUUCAGAGUUUACCGUUUCUGUUAUAUCGACGUUAAAUCCUUUCGUUCCCUGGCGAGUAAAGUUGUUGAUAUCCACAGAUAUUCAAUAAGAAAGAGAGCUUUCCAAGGAACACUCGCGUAAAUGAUACUCACUUAUGUUCCGAAUUAAAUUCUUUAACUAAUGGUCUUACAGCUGACAUAUAUAUAAAAGAGAGACGAAAUGAUACAAUCUCGGUUUUAAAUAAAAACAGACAGAUUUUUGAGAAAAAUGAACUAAAAAAAAUAAAAGAAAAAAGUUGAUAUUUAUGGGAUCUAUAUUUUGAGUAGAUGAUCAACAUUUACAAUAAAAUAUCAAUAUGUA
rnacentral:lncRNA from 1 species